rnacentral:lncRNA from 1 species
UUCAAAACUCCGGGAUUCCAUUGUACAUUAUGGAAAGUUCAAAGUUUGAGGUGGAUUGUUUCGACGGAAAAAAAUAAUUUCAGUAUUUGAUGUAGAAUAUUCAAAGAUGUUUUGAUGCAACAAGACCUUUACAAGGCGUUACAUUGUAAGACGUCAAAGGGUCGAAGGACACAACAUGGGAAGAACGGGAAAUGAAGACAACGGGUACCAUCAGGAUCGUUCUUGCUCUCGAGGUAAAGUAUAAUAUUCAUAAAGAUAAAUCUCCUUUUAAGUUAUGAAAAAUGUUAGAAGAGUUGUAUAUGUCUUACUAAAAGUUUGAGAUCAUCUGAAUAAAUUUAAUAAUAUGUGGGUGAUUGAAUUGUUAAAUGUUGCUCUUAAGAUUGAGGACGAGGAAAAGACGACAAUAUCGAUGUCUUCCUUGUCGAAGACAUAUGAGACCAUGGUACCCUUGCUACUAGUUGAAAGACCAACUUGACUGUGAAUGACUCUACUGCUUUAUUAGAGACAUGCAAUAUCAAGAAGCCCAGUGGUAUUUGUCAUGUUGAUCAAGUUCUCAUGGCAAAGUCUAAAAUGUGUGUUAAUGGUGAUCUGAGAGGAUAUAAUUACGCUUGGAGGGAAGAUUGAUCUCAUUCUCAUUUCAAGUUAGAUGCUGAGUGUUACUAUUAUAUUAGGAUAAAUUGUUAAAAGUUGUAGAAGCUAAGAACAGUGGAGAGUCUUACGAGGCCUUCGAUGAUAUGAAUGUGGCGGAUGAUGAAAGGAGAUGAUCUCUACUUUGUCUUGUAUUAUGAUUCUCUCUGUGGUUAUUAGAUUAUGGAAUAUUCUAGAUGUUCAUAUCGUAUGUACCGCACAAAGAGUGGUCUGAGGAUUAUAAACCACGUGAUGUGCAUAAAGUUAUAAUGAUCGAUAACCAAAAAUUGAUGGAAUUGAAUGUUUGAAUUAUGAGUAUUCUAUUUAUGUUUGAAUUGGAUUGAUGAACAUGAGGAAAGAUAUUGGGGAGAUAGAUUGAAAGGUAAAACUGUACAAGCUUAUAGGGAAGACAAUUUGGGUGAAGUUAUUGCAACAGUCACGCCAAGGUGCAACUGUGGUAAUGGAGUCAUAUCGAGGUAAAAUUGUCUUGAUCAAACUGCACUGUAAAACGUGCUUGCAUGCUUUUAACGAAAUUCCAAAUUGUAAAACUUACUUGAAAUCACCGAAACAAGGUUCAAUCACUUGCCUUUUCUUUGCUUGGCUUCCAGACCGUCUUGUACCGGCUUCUUGGUUAAAAACUCGAUCACCAAGGAAGAAGUUGGAUGUUCACAAUCCAAGAACCAGCUUUGAGAUGUUAUAUUUCCAAAAUCAAGCCUUUUCACUCAUGUAUAUUCCUUCUCCUCUUUAUACCCGAAUUUUGUAUGUAUCUUUCAUGUAAAAAUGGAGUAACGAAAGUUGCAUAGGAGUUAUUGAUGGUGGGGAGGUUAAUUUUCAAACUCAAAAACUCAACUCCUCCCUCCAUUUGUUUUUAUGCAAUUCGGGUCAGAUUAGUCCACAUGAGUUAAUUAUUUCAUAAGAAUAGACCGAUGAAUGAAAUAAGCCUAACAACUAACUCCAUGAGCUACACUCGUUCCAAUUGCAUUCCCUCUUGGAUGGUUUGAAUCUUGGCCCGUUUAAGCCCCUUAAAGGUCCAACGAAAAGCAUAACCCUUGAGUAUAUAUAAGGAUAUAUAACCCUAGCCACUUUCUUGCAUGAUUUGUGUGGUUUUGUGAGAAAAAUAGAGGAAUUCCCUUUGGUGUGUGUAAAACAACACCUAGAAGUGUCCAAAACGAUUGUUUACUUUGUGUAAUUGGUGGUUCCUUCAUAGUAUACCUUUGUGGUGUCUUCUCUUAGCUUUUGUGGCCACAAAUCAUGACUUUUUCUUGUCUUACGUGAGUAAGAUUGAAUAGCAAUCGAGGUGAAUUAUAUUGGUUGUGGUUUGGAGCCAAUUAGAUUGAUUGUUGGUAGAAAAAUGUAAGUUGAACUGAGCUCGAAAAUCACCGAUUUAAAUAUCUUUGAAGAGAGCUUCCGCAACAUCUUAGUAAUAAAAGUUUCAUUUGAAUUCCAGUAGCCAUAUAUUAUUUUCCUUUUUAUACUUUGAAACUUGUGCAUAGUUGAAAUACAUCAUCAACCUUUAAAAUCUAACUUUGAGUCUCCAUUAUUUAGUUCCAUUUGCAUAAUUUGUUCUUUUUACAUAUUUAGAAUGUGUAAUGUGAUUGGGAAUCUUUUUAUAAUGUGCUUCAAUCCGUAGUCAAACGAGAAGAUUGUUAGGAAUAUAACCCUUCAGGCUAAUUUUUGUUUCUUCACAUUGAGACUUUUCUUGAUUCAAUAAAAAACAUGACUUAUUUAUUCAUACCAUGCAAUUUUUUGAGCUUUGUAGGACCUACACUUUCUGGGAAAUUAUAACUUCACGAACGGUUUAUGUCUAGAAGAUAUAAUCCCAAUGUUGAGACGUUCCGCCUUCGAUAUUGAAGUCAAUCCCAUCCAAAACAGCAUUCCGAGAGGGCGAGACGAGGAUUUCCCACCCAAGAAGUUGUUCCAAAGGUAAGUUGCCAAAUCCCUUGCAUCCCUGAGUCGAGGCGAGGAUAUACCCUCUGGCCCCUCCUCCGAUCGAAAGUAUCACUUUGAUUCCUUUGGCUUGACAUGAUUUUAUUUUGGAACUCAAUCCAGCACAAACAUUGCUGUAUGGAUCGCAGUGUC